UGCCGGAGCAGAGAACCGCCCGCCCAUCUCUGCUCGGUUGGAAGCAGAUCCUCUCCUGCGGCCUUCACUGGAGAGCGCUCCCCGGGACGUGUCCCCUGAGUGCACCGGCCGUCCUGCUCCUCUGCUGCUUUCCCAGUCAGCCAGACACCAUAUUUCUUCUCCUCCCAACAUAUUUCCCAGCAGUGCAGGUGAAUCCAGCAUCCCUGGCUAAAUGGAUAGAAUAUCAGGAGUGCCUGGCUUAAUAAUGUUAGCAUUUAAAUGUGGUAACAAUAUUUAACCUGCUGCAUUAACAACCUGUUGAAAAGCAGAGGAGAAGAUUCCACUUUGUGUUGCUCAGUCUGCAGAUUCCAAAAAAACCCACAGCAUCUCGGGUUACAUUUAGAAGACUAUCUCCUUCCUGAAGGGCUGUAAAGUGCAUUUGAUGUAACAAAAACAAUCCUUCCCAAGUCUUGCUGUCCAGCUCAUAAUAGCUAUGACACUCAAGAAUGUAUUCUUUGAUGGAACUGCUACCUCAUGCUUCCCUGGAGCAGUGGAAGUGACUGACAUCACCGUUGGCCAAAUGUGUCGACUGGAAUCAUGUGACCAGACAUGCUGUCAGUUCAGACUUUCAGAAAGAGAUUUGAUGCACGGAAUAAAGGUGUAAUAUUUGUCAGAACCCAACAUUGUGCUUUUUCCAAAGAAGGAAAAACUCCAGAAAAAGACAUUGUGGUCUAGGAUAUCUUGGUCUUUGAAAUGUUUUUUUAAAAACCACAUUCUAUGCAAUAACAAUGAUUUUUGUUUAAAAAAAGAAGUCUUUACAAGUCCUAACACAUAAUAUGUAGCUGGGGGGACGAGAUAAGGUGUUCUUUCCAACGUCACCCAAACCUUUUAAUUUUUCCUACAUUUCAUAACUUCGAAACAAAUAUCCAUGAGAACUUGCUGACCGAAUUGCUGCUUGUGUUCUUAAUUCAAGUAGUUAUAUAGGGCUUUAUCAUGUAACCUUUACUUGUGUGAGAAAAUGUUAUGAAUGGAAGUGGUUCCCAGUUGGGUCCUUUGGAUCAUACUGUAAUGUAAAUAUCUACUACUAAUAAUAAUCCUUUUGAUUGUUUUUGAUUGAACCCUUAUUUUCCUUCACAAUCUGCUCUUUGUGUUCAGUCUUUACUGAUACAUAAUGAAAGGUCUUUCAGUUUAGUUUAAGAAAUUUCCCAUCUGACACUUCAGCUCUUUGUAAUAUGUGCAUAUCCACAAAAGCUAUUUUGUAUUAGAGUAAUUCCAAUUAAA